AUUGAACGCUGGCGGCAGGCUUAACACAUGCAAGUCGAACGAGUGGCGGACGGGUGAGUAAUGUCUGGGAAACUGCCUGAUGGAGGGGGAUAACUACUGGAAACGGUAGCUAAUACCGCAUACCAUCGGAUGUGCCCAGAUGGGAUUAGCUAGUAGGUGGGGUAACGGCUCACCUAGGCGACGAUCCCUAGCUGGUUUGAGAGGAGGACCAGCCACACUGGAACGGAGACACGGCCCAGACUCCUACGGGAGGCAGCAGUGGGGAAGAGUGCACAAUGGGCGCAAGCCUGAUGCAGCCAUGCCGCGUGUAUGAAGAAGGCCUUCGGGUUGUAAAGUACUUUCAGCGGAGAGGCGUUACCCGCAGAAGAAGCACCGGCUAACUCCGUGCCAGCAGCCGCGGUAAUUC
rnacentral:rRNA from 1 species